UGCCGCCACUGCCCGCAGCCCCCGGGGCCGCGCCGGCACGGAGCCUGUGGCAGGCUGCGGCCUAGUGGCGCUGCAGAGUCCCUGAGCCGAGGCCUCUUCCUCUACCCGAGAGACCUUGGCCUGAGCGGAGCGCGUAUUUCAUCCCCCAUCCCGGCCUUCGAUAAGCGCAGCUCAAUGCCUUUCGGCCUCCCGAUUUCCCCGAAAGGCCACUCGGCUCCUGCUGGCACACAGGAGCAGCGGCGAGGCGUUGCGCUUCGGUGUGGGCCGUACUGGUGGAGCAAGAAGGGAGCCCAUCUUCUCAGUGAAGUUCACAAAGCUCAAAGCCUCGCAGACACCUAAAGCACGUGAAAUGUUGGUGGAAAACCUCCUGCAAAUGCUGCAACAUAUGAAUUCCAGGCUUAAGUGGAGAUAGCACUUUAUAACUAAUAACCGAUACCUGAAGAAAUGGUAGCUGCAGCCACGCACCCACCUGGGAUUUCCAAGAGACUGAAGAGGUUAGAUGUACAGAUCCUCCUGAUGACAACAGCUCGAGGAGUAACUGGAAUCCUUGCUGCCUGAGGUUUUAAGCACACAAAAGAAAAGGUAAAGCUCGAAGUAUAAACACAUGCAGCCAUAUUGCCAGACCACCUGCUUCAAGUAGUGAUGAAUGCAAAUGAAAACAACAUAAGGAGGGAGAAGUGCCGUAACAACACUCCAUUUAUAUCCUCCCACCUUCUAGCAAUCUUUGCUAGGCUUUCUGAGACAAAAAUAACUGUGUUUGAUGACCAUUUCUUCCCUAUUUAUUCUAUUUACGGUCUUAGCUUUUAAGAUAACCAUGACAAUGUGAUUCAUGAUUUAAUUGUGUGCAACCAGAAAAACAUUUCCUUUAAUUUUCAAUGGUAAAGAGGCAUAAAGCAAAAUAAGUAAUAGAAAUUAUGGGUAAUAAUUUUCUGAUUAUUUAUUUAUACCCUUUAUGCACCAUAAUAUCUUCUGAGUCCCUUUUUUUUGCGAACCAAAUCUGACAUCUGUCCAAUUCUUUCUCCUUUUAAAGUAAUUCCACGCUUCUGAUUAUCCUUGCCAUUUUCUCUUUAUUGACAAGAAAUGUACAUGAUGUUCAGGAUGUGGGCUUCAUGCAGAUUUACGUAAUGAAGAGAGGAUCCUCCCCGGUUCUUUUCAGGAUGGGACUACUGAUUUAAUAUAGCCUGUUUAAAGACUUUUCUCCCAAAAUACUCCUUUUAACACUCAAUGCCUACUGACCCCGUAGCCUUCCUGCUUCUGAUGAAUCUGGAAAAGGUCUUUGCAAGGGCUGUGAACAAAGCAAAUUGUUUGUCUGAUCUUUUCUUCCCUAUUACAUUUAGCUUAAAACAAUUUUUGAUUUUGCUUGUUUGUUUGUAUAUAACCCUGUGGUUCCUGUUAUGGUGCUAUUUAACCUUGUUAAAAGAACUGAAAGGACCAAACAAAAACCUUGUUUGUCUCUCAUCUGCUCGCAUUUAGUCUGUGAGGUUUUGAUGUCUUUAGAAAAAAAAAACAAAAAACUUGCUCAUUUUUGUGUUCCACCCUUUUAGACAUCAUUCAUUUUCUUAAUGUUGUUUUUCUCUGUGCCAGCAUAGGCAAAGUGAAUCAACACAGCAAAGCUGUGAAUCUAGCAAACUGGAGUCUGCCUUCUGGUAUUCACUUCAGUAGUACUGAGAUGUUUUUGCUUAUAUGCACGAUUUAUUUUUUUUUUUCACAUUCUAUGGAUCUCGAAAUUAUAUAAAUCUCGAAAUAGGACUAACAGCGUCACUGUUCACUUGCUGACAUGGUUUUUGCAGUCAUAACUGGGAUCUCAGGUUUUCCUGUCAUGCUCCAGAGUUUAAGGACAAAGGACCACCAUUAUUUCUAGUUCUGUGUGACUUGAUGCAGCAUGGAAAUUCCUUCAUUCCGAAGCAUGAACUAUCACUGCCCCCUAAAGAAUACAGUUUCGUCACCCUGUAUCUCCAAACACCUACAAGCUAGCCGCUUAGAGGACGCUUCACUAGACAAAAACUUCUAAAUAGUAACAUCUCUUCCGCGCAUAAAAGCCAUCAGGCCACGCCGUACUUCCCCACGCAACCCCCCACUAGCUGGAGAUUGAGCGCUACCUCCGCAGCUGCUCAACACGGCCGCUAAUGUAAACAAGCCUCCGCCCAGCAGCAAACAGCCCAGGCCCGGCCGGCAAGGUCAAGUGCUAGAACUUUCCC